UUUUUGGAUAAAAAGGGGGGCUACAACAUUGAGAGAAAAUUUGACAGCUUCUUCCUCUGCAUUUUCUUCUUAUGGGAGAUUUCUGAAGUUACAGAAAAAAGGGCUACUGUCCACUUGGGGUCGUUGGAUUGGAGCAUUGGAAGAUGACUUAUUCUUAUCUCCUGUAUCUGUCUAAGCCGAAUCUGCUAGUUCAUGCCUUCCAAACAUUUAUGCUGAUUUCCACCAUUCUCUUCCAA